rnacentral:rRNA from 1 species
GGUGGAGCGAUUUGUCUGGUUAAUUCCGAUAACGAACGAGACUCUAGCCUACUAAAUAGUGGAUGAAUUUUUAGUUCAUCAUACUUCUUAGAGGGACAAGGGGUAUCUAGCCCCACGAGAUUGAGCAAUAACAGGUCUGUGAUGCUCUUAGAUGUCCGGGGCUGCACGCGCGCUACACUAAAGGAGUCAACAUGCAUUAAAACCUAGUCUGGAAAGACCGGGUAACCCAAUGAAACUCCUUCGUGAUUGGGAUAGGGAAUUGUAAUUAUUUCCCUUGAACGAGGAAUUCCUAGUAAAUGCGGGUCAUCAUCUCGCGUUGAAUACGUCCCUGCCCUUUGUAC